rnacentral:rRNA from 1 species
ACAACUUUCAGCAACGGAUCUCUUGGCUCUCGCAUCGAUGAAGAACGCAGCGAAAUGCGAUAAGUAAUGUGAAUUGCAGAAUUCAGUGAAUCAUCGAAUCUUUGAACGCACCUUGCGCCCCUUGGUAUUCCGAGGGGCAUGCCUGUUUGAGUGUCAUU